CUACGUGCCAGCAGCCGCGGUAAUACGUAGGUCCCGAGCGUUGUCCGGAUUUAUUGGGCGUAAAGCGAGCGCAGGCGGUUAGAUAAGUCUGAAGUUAAAGGCUGUGGCUUAACCAUAGUACGCUUUGGAAACUGUUUAACUUGAGUGCAAGAGGGGAGAGUGGAAUUCCAUGUGUAGCGGUGAAAUGCGUAGAUAUAUGGAGGAACACCGGUGGCGAAAGCGGCUCUCUGGCUUGUAACUGACGCUGAGGCUCGAAAGCGUGGGGAGCAAACAGGAUUAGAUACCCUGGUAGUCCACGCCGUAAACGAUGAGUGCUAGGUGUUAGACCCUUUCCGGGGUUUAGUGCCGCAGCUAACGCAUUAAGCACUCCGCCUGGGGAGUACGACCGCAAGGUUGAAACUCAAAGGAAUUGACGGGGGCCCGCACAAGCGGUGGAGCAUGUGGUUUAAUUCGAUGCAACGCGAAGAACCUUACCUACUCUUGACAUCCAGA
rnacentral:rRNA from 1 species